GGGUUGUGAGGUUAAGCGACUAAGCGUACACGGUGGAUGCCCUGGCAGUCAGAGGCGAUGAAGGACGUGCUAAUCUGCGAAAAGCGUCGGUAAGGUGAUAUGAACCGUUAUAACCGGCGAUGUCCGAAUGGGGAAACCCAGUGUGAUUCGUCACACUAUCGUUAACUGAAUACAUAGGUUAACGAGGCGAACCGGGGGAACUGAAACAUCUAAGUACCCCGAGGAAAAGAAAUCAACCGAGAUUCCCCCAGUAGCGGCGAGCGAACGGGGAGCAGCCCAGAGUCUGAAUCAGCUUGUGUGUUAGUGGAACGGUCUGGAAAGUCCGACGGUACAGGGUGAUAGUCCCGUACACCAAAAUGCACAGGUUGUGAACUCGAAGAGUAGGGCGGGACACGUGGUAUCCUGUCUGAAUAUGGGGGGACCAUCCUCCAAGGCUAAAUACUCCUGACUGACCGAUAGUGAACCAGUACCGUGAGGGAAAGGCGAAAAGAACCCCGGCGAGGGGAGUGAAAAAGAACCUGAAACCGUGUACGUACAAGCAGUGGGAGCACCUUCGGGUGUGACUGCGUACCUUUUGUAUAAUGGGUCAGCGACUUAUAUUCUGUAGCAAGGUUAACCGUAUAGGGGAGCCGCAGGGAAACCGAGUCUUAACUGGGCGUUAAGUUGCAGGGUAUAGACCCGAAACCCGGUGAUCUAGCCAUGGGCAGGUUGAAGGUUGGGUAACACUAACUGGAGGACCGAACCGACUAAUGUUGAAAAAUUAGCGGAUGACUUGUGGCUGGGGGUGAAAGGCCAAUCAAACCGGGAGAUAGCUGGUUCUCCCCGAAAGCUAUUUAGGUAGCGCCUCGUGAAUUCAUCUUCGGGGGUAGAGCACUGUUUCGGCUAGGGGGUCAUCCCGACUUACCAACCCGAUGCAAACUACGAAUACCGAAGAAUGUUAUCACGGGAGACACACGGCGGGUGCUAACGUCCGUCGUGAAGAGGGAAACAACCCAGACCGCCAGCUAAGGUCCCAAAGUCAUGGUUAAGUGGGAAACGAUGUGGGAAGGCACAGACAGCCAGGAUGUUGGCUUAGAAGCAGCCAUCAUUUAAAGAAAGCGUAAUAGCUCACUGGUCGAGUCGGCCUGCGCGGAAGAUGUAACGGGGCUAAACCAUGCACCGAAGCUGCGGCAGCGACACUAUGUGUUGUUGGGUAGGGGAGCGUUCUGUAAGCCUGCGAAGGUGUGCUGUGAGGCAUGCUGGAGGUAUCAGAAGUGCGAAUGCUGACAUAAGUAACGAUAAAGCGGGUGAAAAGCCCGCUCGCCGGAAGACCAAGGGUUCCUGUCCAACGUUAAUCGGGGCAGGGUGAGUCGACCCCUAAGGCGAGGCCGAAAGGCGUAGUCGAUGGGAAACAGGUUAAUAUUCCUGUACUUGGUGUUACUGCGAAGGGGGGACGGAGAAGGCUAUGUUAGCCGGGCGACGGUUGUCCCGGUUUAAGCAUGUAGGCUGGUUAUCCAGGCAAAUCCGGAUAAUCAAGGCUGAGGUGUGAUGACGAGGCACUACGGUGCUGAAGUAACAAAUGCCCUGCUUCCAGGAAAAGCCUCUAAGCAUCAGGUAACAUCAAAUCGUACCCCAAACCGACACAGGUGGUCAGGUAGAGAAUACCAAGGCGCUUGAGAGAACUCGGGUGAAGGAACUAGGCAAAAUGGUGCCGUAACUUCGGGAGAAGGCACGCUGGUGUGUAGGUGAAGUCCCUGCGGAUGGAGCUGAGACCAGUCGAAGAUACCAGCUGGCUGCAACUGUUUAUUAAAAACACAGCACUGUGCAAACACGAAAGUGGACGUAUACGGUGUGACGCCUGCCCGGUGCCGGAAGGUUAAUUGAUGGGGUUAUCCGUAAGGAGAAGCUCUUGAUCGAAGCCCCGGUAAACGGCGGCCGUAACUAUAACGGUCCUAAGGUAGCGAAAUUCCUUGUCGGGUAAGUUCCGACCUGCACGAAUGGCGUAAUGAUGGCCAGGCUGUCUCCACCCGAGACUCAGUGAAAUUGAACUCGCUGUGAAGAUGCAGUGUACCCGCGGCAAGACGGAAAGACCCCGUGAACCUUUACUAUAGCUUGACACUGAACAUUGAGCCUUGAUGUGUAGGAUAGGUGGGAGGCUUUGAAGCGUGGACGCCAGUCUGCGUGGAGCCAACCUUGAAAUACCACCCUUUAAUGUUUGAUGUUCUAACGUUGGCCCCUUACCGGGGUUGCGGACAGUGUCUGGUGGGUAGUUUGACUGGGGCGGUCUCCUCCCAAAGCGUAACGGAGGAGCACGAAGGUUAGCUAAUCCUGGUCGGACAUCAGGAGGUUAGUGCAAUGGCAUAAGCUAGCUUGACUGCGAGCGUGACGGCGCGAGCAGGUGCGAAAGCAGGUCAUAGUGAUCCGGUGGUUCUGAAUGGAAGGGCCAUCGCUCAACGGAUAAAAGGUACUCCGGGGAUAACAGGCUGAUACCGCCCAAGAGUUCAUAUCGACGGCGGUGUUUGGCACCUCGAUGUCGGCUCAUCACAUCCUGGGGCUGAAGUAGGUCCAAGGGUAUGGCUGUUCGCCAUUUAAAGUGGUACGCGAGCUGGGUUUAGAACGUCGUGAGACAGUUCGGUCCCUAUCUGCCGUGGGCGCUGGAGAAUUGAGGGGGGCUGCUCCUAGUACGAGAGGACCGGAGUGGACGCAUCACUGGUGUUCGGGUUGUCAUGCCAAUGGCACUGCCCGGUAGCUAAAUGCGGAAGAGAUAAGUGCUGAAAGCAUCUAAGCACGAAACUUGCCCCGAGAUGAGUUCUCCCUGAGACUUUAAGUCUCCUGAAGGAACGUUAAAGACGAUGACGUUGAUAGGCCGGGUGUGUAAGCGCAGCGAUGCGUUGAGCUAACCGGUACUAAUGAACCGUGAGGCUUAACCUUACAACGCCGAAG
rnacentral:rRNA from 1 species